GCAUGUGGUUUAAUUCGAAGCAACGCGCAGAACCUUACCAGCCUUGACAUCCGGUCGCGGUUCAGAGAUGGAUCCUUCAGUUCGGCUGGACCGGUGACAGGUGCUGCAUGGCUGUCGUCAGCUCGUGUCGUGAGAUGUUGGGUUAAGUCCGCAACGAGCGCAACCCUUGCCUUUAGUUGCCAGCAGUUCGGCUGGGCACUCUAAAGGGACUGCCGGUGUUAAACCGGAGGAAGGUGGGGAUGACGUCAAGUCCUCAUGGCCUUUAUGACCAGGGCUACACACGUACUACAAUGGCCGAUACAAAGGGCAGCGACACUGCGAGGUGAAGCCAAUCCCGUAAAAUCGGUCUCAGUCCGGAUUGGAGUCUGCAACUCGACUCCAUGAAGUUGGAAUCGCUAGUAAUCGUGGAUCAGAAUGUCACGGUGAAUACGUUCCCGGGCCUU
rnacentral:rRNA from 1 species